rnacentral:rRNA from 1 species
AUGAAGGUUUUGAGUUGGAAUUGUAAUGGACUGGGGAACACCCUGGCGGUUCGUGCCUUGCUGGACGUCCAGCGAAGAUGGCAACCUGAUGUGUUGUUUUUGUCGGAGACACACCUAGAUAGCUACCCGGUUGAAGGCUUGAGGAGAAGAUUGAAGAUGGAUCAGAAACUUGUGUGCCCUAGUGAUGGUAGGAAGGGAAGGUUAUUGCUGUUUUGGAAUAAUAACACUAGGGUGACCAGGCUUGAGCUAGACCCUAUGUUCAUUGAUGUUAAGAUUGAAGAAGCAAAUAAUGUGGUGUGGCGUUUGACAGGGAUGUAUGGGGAGUUUCGGUGGGAAAAUAAACACAUGACGUGGAGCCGCAUGAGGCAACUCCACCAAAAUCAUAAACUUCCAUGGAUUCUGUUGGGUGAUCUGAAUGAAAUUCAGUACCUACACGAGAAGGAUGGAGGUAACCCACGCCCGAUACAGUAUAUGCAGGCUUUCCAGCAGGUUAUCGAGGACUGUGAGCUGCACGACCUUGGGUUUAUAGGUGACAAGUUCACUUGGCAUCGAGGGAGAAUCAAGGAGAGGCUUGACAGGGGGCUGGUAAACGACACUUGGUCGGUACUUUUCCCCCAUGCAGCUCUGCAAAAUAUGGAAUAUAAUCACUCGGACUGUACCUGUACCUGUAGUGAAUGA